GACGAACGCUGGCGGCGCGCCUAACACAUGCAAGUCGAACGGAGUCAAGAGGAGCUUGCUUUUCUUGACUUAGUGGCGAACGGGUGAGUAACGCGUGAGUAACCUGCCCUGGAGUGGGGGACAACAGUUGGAAACGACUGCUAAUACCGCAUAAGCCCACGGAUCCGCAUGGAUCUGCGGGAAAAGGAUUUAUUCGCUUCAGGAUGGACUCGCGUCCAAUUAGCUAGUUGGUGAGGUAACGGCCCACCAAGGCGACGAUUGGUAGCCGGACUGAGAGGUUGAACGGCCACAUUGGGACUGAGACACGGCCCAGACUACUACGGGAGGCAGCAGUGGGGGAUAUUGCACAGUGGGGGAAACCCUGAUGCAGCGACGCCGCGUGGAGGAAGAAGGUUUUCGGAUUGUAAACUCCUGUCGUUAGGGACGAUAAUGACGGUACCUAAAAAGAAAGCACCGGCUAACUACGUG
rnacentral:rRNA from 1 species